GAAGCGUGGUCUCCAUUGAGUAGUUCCUGGCAUCUUGGUCUUCUCCGCGUCUUCCUUGUAUCAACGGGAGGUGAUUGUGGUUUCCACGAUGAGUUCCCAGAAAGGGAACGUGGCUCGUUCCAGGCCUCAGAGGCACCAGAAUACGUUUAGCUUCAAAAAUGACAAGUUUGAUAAGAGUAUUCAGACCAAGAAAAUUAAUGCAAAGCUUCACGAUGGAGUUUGCCAGCACUGUAAAGAAGUUCUUGAAUGGCGUGUAAAAUACAGCAAAUACAAACCAUUGUCAAAGCCUAAGAAAUGAAUAUUCUCAUCAGGAAUCUUGCCGAAGGUUCUGGGGUUCAGAGCGGCAGGUGGUGUUUCUCUUCUUGACUGCUCUGACACCUGUGUACUUCUCGAGAAGGGAUGUCGACCUUCCUUUGCUUCUUUAUUGCAUCCUGGACUUCAGUAGUGCUGGUGAAAGGACUGCCUCGCCACGGAAAUUGGGGCUGCCUCUUUCCAUUUUGUGGGAGUCAAUGUGUUUGGCGACCAAUAAUAAUCACUUUUGUAAGACUCUAGAUCUAAUAUUAAUGGAUGGGGUAAAGGUCCUGGCUUUUGUUAGGAAGGGACAGUUAUUUUAAAUCAUGAUGAAUGUCGUAUAUCUAAGCUAGAAGUACUUUCAUUCUGAGAGUAGGACAAAGAACACUGAACAGCCCGUGCGUAAGGAGAAAUGCAAGACAUGAAAAAAACGAAAGUCUGGAACUCCUGUCCUAUCUCGGCAACUUCCUCAUGAGCUUUAUCCAUGACCCAGUCUCAAGGGAGCAGUCCCUUGUUGGUGUUAAAUGUUUACAAAAGUCAGUGAAAGAUUCUUAUCACAUAAUGUGUAGACCAUGUGCCUGUGAACUUGAAGUUUGUGCAAAAU